rnacentral:lncRNA from 1 species
CAGCAAGGGUGGUGGGAUUAUCAUUAGUUCUUAUUGGUUUGGGGAUAGGCGGUGGAGUUAGGAGCAAUGUUUUGCAGGCAGGGGGUGGAUUUCACAAAGUACAUUCUCAAGGGUGAGGAGAAUUACAAAGAACCUUCUUAAGGGUAGGGGAGAUUACAAAGAAUCUUCUUAAGGGUGGGGGAAAUUACAAAGUACAUUGAUCAGUUAGGGUGGGGCAGAAACAAAUCACAAUGAUGGAAUGUCAUCAGUUAAGGCUGUUUUCACUUCUUUUGUGGAUCUUCAGUUGCUUUAGGCCAUCUGGAUGUAUACACGCAGGUCACAGGGGCUAUAAUGGCUUUGCUUGUGCUCAGAGGCCUGACAUUCCUGUCUUCUUAUAUUAAUAAGAAAAACAAAACAAAAUAGUGAAGUGUUGGAGUGGUGAAAAAUUUUGGGGGUGGCAUGGAGAGAUAAUAGGCGAUGUUUCUCAGGGCUGCUUCAAGCAGGAUUAGGGGCAAUGUGGGAACCUAGAGUGGGAGAGAUUAAGCUGAAGGAAGAUUUUCUGGUAAGGGGUGAUAUUGUGGAGUUGUUAGAAGGAGGAUUUUUUGUAUAGAAUUAUUGGUAAUGUCCUGGAUGCGGUUUUGUAUGAAUUGAGAAACUAAAUGAAAGACACAAGGUCUGAAGAAAAGAAGGAGAAAAAUAGAUAUUGAAUGACUAGAAAUUGGGAGUGCCCAGGAUGUCCAAUUAGAGUGUCCAAGGGGAUUCAAUGUUACUGUUUUCUUGAUUGGUGAGUUUUUUGGCUCUAUCCUUGAGUUUUUUUAUACCAUGCCAGAUUGAUUUAGAUAAAAACAACACUCUUCAUUUAAAAAUAUACAGAGUCCCCCUUCCCCUUUUUUUUAGCAGUGAGUAAGUCAGGGCCUUGGUGAUUUUGGAGGAAAGAGAAAUGCAAAGCCAGCAAUUGUUUGUUAAAGAAGGAUUAGAAAUGGCUAGGAGAGAGUGAGUUUGAUAGUGUGGUGGAGAUAGCUGGGGAGAGGUAGAGGGUGGCAUAAGAAUAGGAACCAGAAUAAGAGUGAGUAUAAAAGUAAAGAAUAGGACUUCAUCAGGGUGAAAGUAUUGGAGUGUACUUUGUCAAUGAAGAUCUUCUAUCCACUUAAACAGAGACUUAAGGGUGGCAGUUUGAGGUAAAACCAGGCACCACUGAAUACCAAGAGCCUGAGAAACUGCUUGGGUGAUUGGACUAGUAAAGGCCGGUCUGUUAUCGGACUGUAUAGAGGUGGGAAGGCCAAACCGAGGAAUUAUGUCUGACAGAAGGGAAGAAAUGACCAUGGUGGCCUCCUCAGACCCUGUGGGAAAGGCCUCUACCCAUCCAGUGAAAGUGUCUACCCAGACCAAGACGCAUUUUAGUUUCCUGACUCAAGGCGUAUGAGUAAAGUCAAUUUGCCAGUCCUGGUUGGGGGCAAAUCCCUGAGAUUGAUGUGUAGGGAAAGGAGGGGGCCUGAACAAUCCCUGAGGAGUAGUAGAAUAGCAGAUGGAACACUGAGAAGUGAUUUCCUUAAGGAUAGAUUUCCAUGGUGGAAAGGAAAUGAGAAGUUCUAAGAGUCAGGCUAGUGGCUUGUAACCUACAUGGGAGAAGCUAUGAAAUGACGACAGAAUAGAAUGGGCCUGUGAGGCUGGAAGGAGAUACUUUCCUUGGUCCAAGAACCAUUUGCCUUGUGUGGGAAGAGAUUGAUAGGUGGAAGUUUCAGUGGGGGAGUAGGUGGGAGUGACCAGAUAAGAAGGAGAAAAGCUGCUGUGAGGGAUAGAAGUUGGAAUGCUAGCUGCUUUUUUAGCUACCUUAUCAGCAUAAGCAUUGCCCUGAAUGAUGGGAUCUGAUGCCUUUUGAUGGUGCUUGCAGUGAAUGACUCCAGCUUCCUUUGGAAGUAAAGUGGCCUUGAGAAGAGUUUUUAUUAAAGAGGCGUUAAUGAUGGAGGACCCUUGCAUAGUGAGGAAACCUCUUUCAGACCAUAUAACAGCAUGGUGGUGCAGGAUAUGGAAGGCAUAUUCAGAGUCACUAUAAAUAUUGACGCAAAAUUCCUUUGCAAGAGUGAGGGCUCAAGUUAAGGCAAUGAGUUCAGCUUGCUGAGAGGUAGUGGAGGGGUGCAGAGUGGUAGCCUCAAUGAUAGAUGUGGAAGAUACUCUAGCAUAGCCUUCCUUUGCUGGUGAGUGGAGAUUAGGCCUGGUGGAACUGCCAUCAAUAAACCAAGUGUGAUCAGGGUGAGGAACACGAAAGAAGGAAAUACGGGGAAAUGGAGUGAAUGUCAGGUGGAUCAGAGAGAUACAGUCAUGGGGGACAGUUGUGGUAUCAGGAAUAAUGUGGGAGGCCAGACUGAAGUCCAGGCCAGGAACAAUGGUAACUGUCGGGGACUCAACAAAGAGUGAGUACAGCUGAAGGGGCCAGGGAGCAGAAAGUAUAUGUGUCAGGUAUGAGGAAGAAAAUAGAUUUUGGAAGUUAUGAGAACUGUAGAGGGUGAGUUGAGCAUAGUUUGUGAUUUUGAGGGUCUCUAAAAGUAUUAGGGCACCAGCAGCUGCUGCAUGGAGACAUGAUGGCCAGCCUAAAACAGUAAGGUCAGGUUGUUUGGACAAAAAGCCUACAGGGUGUGGUCCUGGCUCUUGUGUAAGAAUUUUGACCGCACAGUCCUGUACUUUGGCUGUGUGUAACGAAAAGGGUUGGGAUGAGUUAGAGAGAGCUAGUGUGGGGGCAGCUUCUAGGGCUGUUUUUAAGGAACGGAAAGGGAAGUGGCAAAAGGAUUUAGGAUCUAUGGGGUCAGCUAGGUUUCCUUUUGUGAGUUUAUAUAAUGGUUUAGUCAGGAUGGUAAAACUAGGUAUCCAAAGGUGGAAGUACCUAACCAUGCCUAGGAAGGGAAGAAGUUGUUAUUUUGUAGAAGGGGUUGGGGUUUGGGAGAUUGGCUGGACAUGAUCAGCUGGGGGAGCACGUUGUUUUCAUGAAGAAUUAUGCUGAGAUAGGUAAUGGAUGAGGAAGAAAUUUGGGCUUGACUGAAGUAAUGGGGGCUGUCCAUGAAGCCUUGUGGCAGUACAGCCCUGGUAAGUUGCUGAGGCUGAUGGGUGUCAGGGUCAGUCCAAGUGAAAGUGAAGAGAGGCUGGAAUGAAAGGUGCAAAGGAAUAGUAAAGAAAGCAUAUUUGAGAUCUAGAACAGAAUAAUGGGUUAUGGAGGAGUUGUGGAGGGAGGCAUUGAGGAUAGGAGAGUAUAUGGUUUUGGCACCAUGGAGUGGAUAGGCAAGACAAUUUGGUCGAUAAGGCACAGAUCCUGAACUAACCUGUAAGGCUUGUCUGGUUUUUGGACAGGUAAAAUGAGGGAAUUGUAAGGAGAGUUUAUAGGCUUUAAAAGGCCAUGCUGUAACAGGUGAGUGAUAACAGGCUUUAAUCCUUUAAGUGUGCUGUGGGAUGGGAUAUUGGCAUGAUAAGGGUGAUUAUGUUUAAUGGGAUAGUAAUGGGUGUGUGAUCAGUUGCCAGUGAGGGAGUAGAGGUAUCCCACACUUGUGGAUUAAGGUGGGGAGAUAACAAGGGAGGAUGUGAAGGAGGUUUUGAACUGGGGAAAAGGGCAGCAAUGAGGUGUGGCUGUAGCCUAGGAAUAGUCAGGGAAGCAGACAAUUUAGUUAAAAUGUCUUGACCUAAUAAGGGAGCUGGGCAGGUGGGGAUAACUAAAAAGGAGUACAUUAAAGAAUAUUGUCCAAGUUGGCACCAGAGUUGGGGAGUUUUAAGAUGUUUAGAAGCCUGGCCAUCAAUACGCACAACAGUUAUGGAGGCAAGGGAACAGGCCCUUGAAAAGAAGGUAGUGUGGAGUUGGUAGCCUCUGUAUUGAUUAAGAAGGGGACAGACUUACCCUCCACUGUAAGUUACCCAAAACUCGGCAUCCGUGACAGUUCAGGGGGCUUCUGAGGUGAUUGGCAGUGUCAGUGUUCAGCCACUAAGCCAAGAAGACCUGGGAAGGAGACAGUCAGAGCCUUGGGCCAGUUGGACAGUCCAAUUUCCAGUGGGGUCCCGCACAGAUGGGACACAGCUUAGGAGGAAUCCCAGGCUGCAGGCAUUCCUUGGCCCAGUGGCCAGACUUCCAGCACUUAAAGCAAGAUCCUGGGGGAGGAAGUCCUGAAGGGAUGCCUGGCUGCUGUGGCUUAGGCAUUUUGAAGUUUUUGUGUGCUGGAGAUAUGGCUGGGGUUUCUCUCACAGCAGAGGCAAGUAAUUGCAACUCUUCUCUAUUAUCAUACACCUUGAAGGUGCAGUUAAUUAAGUCCUGUUGUGGGGUUUGAGGGCCAGAAUCUAAUUUUUGGAGCUUUUUCUAAUGUCAGCAGCAGAUUGGGUAAUAAAAUGCAUAGAGAAUAAGAUAGCCUUCUGGCCCCUCUGGGUCUAGGGCAGUAAAGCGUCUAAGGGUUGUUGCCAAAUGGGCCAUGAACUGGGCUGAGUUUUUAUAUUUGAUGUUAAAAACUGAUUUGGGAGAGGUCGGAUAAAGAAAAAAAGGAGCAUUAACCUUGACUAUGCCUUUAGCUCCAGCCACCUCUUUAACAGGAAAUUGUUGGGCAGGUGGGGGAGGGCUAGUUGCAGAACGAAACUGUAAGCCAGAUUGGGUGUGAGGAGGGGAAGUGAUAGAAAGAUUAUAGGGUGGGGGAGCAGAGGCUGAGGAAGAAUUGGGUCCUAGCUUGGCCUGGCGAGGAGCAGCCUGGGGAGAAGGGGAGAGGUCAGAUCAGUCUGUAGAAAAGAAGGAUUCAAAGGACUCAGAGUUUGGGGUGGAGACUGAAGGAACAGACAGGAGCUAAAGAAGAAAGAUUUGGGAUGAGUUGCAUUGGGCACAGAGACUAGGGAGGGACCAAUGUGUAUUAGAAGGCCUGGAUGUCAGGCACCUCAGACCAUUUGCCCAUUUUUCAACAAAAAUUAUCUAGGUCUCGGAGGAUGGAGAAAUCAAAAGUGCCAUUUUCUGGCCAUUUAGAACCAUUGUCGAGUUUGUAUUGGGGCCAAGCAGUGUUGCAGAAGAAAAUAAGACAUUUAGAUUUUAGUUCAGGUGAUAGUUGAAGAAAUUUUAAGUUCUUGAGAACACAGGCUAAGGGAGAAGAAGGAGGAAUGGAGGGUGGAAGUUUGCCCAUAGUGAAGGAGGCAAGUUUAAAGAGAAAGGUAGAGACAUGGAGAAAGGGUUGGGGAGCAGCCCUGGGCUGCAAUGUGGGUGAGCAGCCAAAGCAGGCAUCCCCGCAAUUGACUUGCCACCAAGGGAAUGUGGUUGAAUGACCAAGGCAGGCAUCCCUGAAGAUAUCAGACGCCAAUGGAAUGUGGGUGAAUAAUCAGGCAGGCAUCCCCGGAAUGAUUAAACACUAAGGGAAGGCUGCCUUCCUGAGUACAUGACCAGCACCAGAGUUUUGGGUCCAUGGAUAAAAUGUGUCUCCUUUGUCUCUACUAGAAAAUGAAAGGAAUUGAAAUUAAGAGAAGAGAGGGAGUGAAGGGUGGCACCAAGAAUGAAAGGAGAAAGAGGUUGAGGGAUAGUGAGAAAGGUUGGAGAAGAGAGUAAAAAGAGGCCACUUACCCGAUUUAAAAUUUGUGAGAUGUUCCUUGGGCUGGUUGGUCUGAGGACCAAAGGUCGUAGGUGGAUCUCUUCAUGGAGUGAGGGUGAGGACAGGGGACAGUCUCCUGAAGGAGUCCUGCUGACCUGGGUCUUUGGCACCAAAUGUGUCAUGCAUCCAUGUGAAGAGACCACCAAACAAGCUUUGUGUGAGCAACAAGGCUGUUUAUUUCACCUGGGUGCAGACGAGUUGAGUCCAAAAAGAGAGUCAGCCCAGUCUAUAUCUUUUAAAUGGGAAAAUUCAAUCUAUUUACAUGCAACGUUAUUCUUGAUAGGUGAGUACUUACAUCUAGCAUUCUAUUAUUUUCUGCUUGUUUUGUAUAUCCUUUGUUCCUUCCUCUCUUACUGUUUACUUUUGUGGUUGGGCAGUUUUCUGUAGGGAUAAGAUUUGAGUCUUAUCUCUUUCUCCCUAUGUGUUAGCUUUACCAGUGAGUUUUUAUAGUUUCACAUAUUUUUAUGAUGCUGGUUAUCAUCUUCUCUGUGGGGAACAGGCCCCCCAAAACCUGGCCAUAAACUGGCCCCAAAACUGGCCAUAAACAAAAUCUCUGCAGCACUGUGACAUGUACAUGAUGGUCUUAACGCCCACGCUGGAAGGUUGUGGGUUUACCAGAAUGAGGGCAAGGAACACCUGGCCCACCCAGGGUGGAAAACCGCUUAAAGGCAUUCUUAAACCACAAACAAUAGCAUGAGUGAUCUGUGCCUUAAGGCCAUGCUCCUGCUGCAGAUAGCUAGUCCAACCCAUCCCUUUAUUUCAGCCCAUCUCUUCAUUUCCCAUAAGGAAUAAUUUUAGUUAAUCUAAUAUCUAUAGAAAGAAUGCUAAUGACUAGCUUGCUGUUAAUAAAUACAUGGGUAAACCUCUGUUGGAGGCUCUCAGCUCUGAAGGCUGUGAGACCCUUGAUUUCCUACUUCACUCCUCUAUAUUUCUGUGUCUUUAAUUCCUCUAGUGCCACUGGGUUAGAGUCUCCCCGACCAAGCUGGUCUCAGCAAGUGGUCUCCAUCAUGGGGGCUCGAAUCCAGGUUGAAGGGUCACCAGAGUGAUGGUUGGAGAACAUGGAACUAGCUGGAGGACACCUGAGUACUCUUAAAGCAAACCCCGUGUUAAUUGAAAAUGCUCAGUUACGAUUUCAUACAGAUGAACAACUGAAGACAAAAACAACAAAGGGGGAGAAAGAGGGAUUAUGGGACAGCCCAUAUACAAUUGAAUCUAGCAUUAUUAACUUUAAAUUUUUUGAGUCUGCCUAAAGGCCAGAUGUUAUCAGCAGCUGAACAGCAUUUACAGAAACCGGCUGCAAAGACAGAAGCAGAACAACUGGUUUGGUGGAGAGAUCCGAUAACAAAAAGUUGGGAAAUAGGUAAAAUAAUAACUUGGGGUAGAGGUUAUGUUUGUGUUUCUCCAGGCCAAAAUCAAUAACCAAUUUGGAUACCAUCAAGACACCUGAAACCUUAUCAUGAGCCAGAUGCUGAGGAAGAGAUUCCAGGAGGAUCCUGAGGACCCCCUGGUUGCAGCCACGUCGAGGCUGACACUGAGGAGGACCCCAACUGUCAUGAGCAACACCCGUCGAACACAGCCAUCCACCUGGGGACAAAUCAAGAAGCUGUCACAGAUGAUGGAAGAAAACCUGAGGAAAGCGGGACAACCAAUCACAAUGAGUAAUUUGGUGAUCUAUCACAGUGAUGAUCACCAUUGCCAUGAGUAUUCCUUCAACAAGGGCUGACACAGAGAACAAUUAUACUUAUUGGGCAUAUUUAUCAAUCUUGUCUGGCAAUAAUGCCUAGAUGAUUUCACUCUAUGGCACAGUUACACAUGCUUUCUGAUCUCAGUAUUUACCAUAAUAAAUCUGCUCCUAUAAUUGAGGCAUACCACCCUCAAAAACCUAUUUGUAAACAAAAUAGAACCUGGCCAGAAAUAAUGAACAACUUGUUUAGUAAGAUUGCAUUGCAGAACAGGCAGAGAUGCUACGCAAUGAUUCCUAUGGGAUCAUUGAUUGGUCCCCUAAGGGGAUGUUUAGCUUAAAUUGCACCUCUCAGUCUGCAUGCCAUGGCCACACUAGUUCAGAUGGUCUGAACAAAGUGGUCAGAUGGCAGAAAUGAUAAGAAGUAUGGCAAAAGUUCCUAUUGUCUGGAACCAUGGCAGUAUAGUGUCACCUCAACCUCAAAUGAUAUGGCUCAUUGUAGGAGCUAAACAUAAGGAUUUGUGGAAACUAUUAAUAGCUCUUAAUAAGAUCAAAAUUUGGGAAAGAAUAAAAAAAGCAUCUAGAAAGACACUCUACAAACUUGUCUUUGGAUAUUACAAAAUUAAAAGAACAAAUAUUUAAAGCAUCCCAGGUACACCUGACCUUAAUGACAGAAACUGGAGUGCUUGAAGGAGCUGCAGACAGAUUAGCAGCUAGUAACCCAUUAAAAUGGAUAAAAACACUUGGAAGCUCUGUGAUUUCAAUGAUGAUUGUGCUUUUAAUCGGUAUUGUUUGUCUUUGUAUAGUGUGCAGAUGUGGAUCCUGACUCCUGUGAGAAGUAGCUCACAGUGUCAAAGCUGCCUUUGCUUUUAUCGAUUUGCAAAUCAAAUAAGGGGGACAUAUUGGGAACAGCACCCCCCCCCCCAAAAUCUGGCCAUAAACUGGUCCCAAAACUGGCCAUAAACAAAAUCUCUGCAGCACUGACAUGUUCAUGAUGGUCUUAAUGCCCACGCUGGAAGGUUGUGGGUUUACCAGAAUGAGAGCAAGGAACACCUGGCCCACCCAGGGUGGAAAACCACUUAAAGGCAUUCUUAAACCACAAACAAUAGCAUGAGUGAUCUGUGCCUUAAGGCUGUGCUACUGCUGCAGAUAACUAGCCCAACCCAUCCCUUUAUUUCAGCCCAUCCCUUCGUUUCCCAUAAGGGAUACUUUUAAUUAAUCUAAUAUGUAUAGAAAGAAUGCUAAUGACUGGCUUGCUGUUAAUAAAUAACGUGGGUAAAUCUCUGUUGGAGGCUCUCAGCUCUGAAGGCUGUGAGACCCCGGAUUUCCCACUUCACACCUCUGUA